UGACCUAAAAUAUUCUAUGUGUUUUUGC
rnacentral:piRNA from 1 species